rnacentral:rRNA from 1 species
GAUGAACGCUGGCGGCGUGCUUAACACAUGCAAGUCGAACGGACUUUACAUGAAGCCUAGCGAUUGUAAAGUUAGUGGCGGACGGGUGAGUAACGCGUGAAUAACCUGCCCUGUACCGGGGGACAACAGUUGGAAACGGCUGCUAAUACCGCAUAAGCGCACGGUUCCGCAUGGAACAGUGUGAAAAACUCCGGUGGUACAGGAUGGAUUCGCGUCUGAUUAGCCAGUUGGUGGGGUAACGGCCUACCAAAGCAACGAUCAGUAGCCGGCCUGAGAGGGUGAACGGCCACAUUGGGACUGAGACACGGCCCAAACUCCUACGGGAGGCAGCAGUGGGGAAUAUUGGACAAUGGGCGCAAGCCUGAUCCAGCAAUGCCGCGUGAGUGAUGAAGGCCUUAGGGUUGUAAAGCUCUUUUACCCGGGAUGAUAAUGACAGCACCGGGAGAAUAAGCUCCGGCUAACUCCGUGCCAGCCGCCGCGGUAA